GGAGUUCCGACCCGGAAACCCCCGUGCCCUUCUAGGACUCCCGAGCCCCGCGUGAGGUGAAGCGCUGGGAGAGCGACUUCCCCCUCCUCUUCGCACCGCUUCUCUUUUGUUUCCGAUCUUCGUCAGUCCAACAGGCGAUGGGGCUUCCCUGCUGUGUUGUUAUAGAGCAUCUGUUCCAGCUGCAGUCAUGAUUUAUUCUCUAGCUGGCUCCACAAGGGCAAAUCCUUUUUGACCCUCAUCUAUCUGUACCUCCCAAACCAGUGUUCUCCUCGCAGUAAGGACCUAGCAUCUGCUGCGUGACGGAAGGAGGGAAUGAGCGGUGCACAAACCGGCGUGGACAGCCGGACAGCCAGCUGUGCCACGUAAUCCACCCUAAAACAAUCCCAAUCCCAAUCCCCACUCCUUUGGGUGAAUGGUUAACAAGUGCAUCGAUAUUAAUAAAGUCCAUAGAGGAUUCAGA